CUUGACCUUUCUUCCCUAUCCACUUGCCUCGGUCCCCUGUCUCAAAAUCCCCCAAAGGAAACCCUAGGCUCGUGUGGUCUAGGCGCCGGCCGUGCAAGCUCCGCCCGCGCUAACAAGCCUCUGGCAUGCCACUGUCAAGCUCCUCAUGGCUCCAGUGCCUCCUGGUUUUCCUACGCCUUCGACGCGGCCCGUCUAUGCUCCACCGCCGCCGCCAAGCUCCAUUUUGAUCUCCGGGUCGAGCUCAACCGGCGGAAUGCAAGGGUGCAUCCGCCGGAUCCUCGACAUGCUCAAGGUGGGGUAAAUGGGACGCCGACGGACCCCCCUCCCGGCUACUCUGCAGACGUCGCUGCCGCCCGGCGCGGUUCGGCCCCGUGUGGAACCGCGCCGUCUAGACGUCGAGUCGAGCCACCCGUCCGCCGCGAGGUCGAGCCACUAAGUGCCAUCGACUGCCCAUUGACAGCUUCCGGGGCCCCUUUUUUUGCAGGUUGACUCCCAAGGCUUUGGCAUCGGCCUAGGACCUGAUCUGAAACCAAACGAGCGAAUGGUGCUCUACGGCCGCACCUGGUGGGUGCAAGUUCGUCUAGCCUACGUUGGUCCUCCAAUCAACCUCAGCAGGGAGAUCAAUCACGUAGGAGGUGUUGCAGGCUCGGUGGUGUUCGUGCUACUCCAGGCCGCCUGCUAUUGGUAUAGCUGCCGCAACAAGUAAGCAAAGAAGAUGUCCACAGGGGCAUGUUUAGAGGCGAACCUAGCUCGCGCCUCCUCUUUUGGCUUGAACUAAUCAAGUGUGUGUUAGGAUAUUUAACCCAAAGUAUUUGAUCCCCUGUGUACAUUUAAGCCCUUCUAGCUACAAUGCUAUGCUUUGCAAAUGUGCAAUGCAUAUAUGCAAUCCCCCUAUAUAUGUGUGCAAUGUUAAACUGCGACAAUGCUAUCCUCUCUGUUGCUGUGUUGUUUGUUUCAAUGAUACACUUGCCCUUUCAAA